ensembl:lncRNA
AAAGGAAUGAGGGGAUGAUCCGAGUGGCCAUAGAAGGCUUGCAAAGCAGUUAUCUGAGGAAAACACCAGCUUAUCAAGCUCAUUUCACCCAUUCAUCUUCAGUAGUAUCAAAGUACUAAUCUCUCUCAUCCUCAAGGGCAUUUUUUGAUUGAUCAUUACACAGCUAUCUCCCCUGCUCAGAACAAAAGCCCAGGAUUUAUUCUGUAUGCAACUUAGUUGGGUGCGCUGAGAUAACACAGCAUAGAAUGAAAGAACCCUCCCAAUGCUGGUUCAUCUUUGCGUGGAUGAAGUGGAACUGAAAUACCGCAUCUCUAACAAUGAUGCUGCAGAGAAAUAUUCACUCUCCUCACCCUGAACCCAGGCAGAGAGGCUGCUGCAGCCCCCAGAGCCCAACCUCUAUGGGUGCAUGCUGUGCUUGAGGUCCCACAGUGGCAGAGCACGGGGCGGCCCAGCUGAGAACCUGGCCAGGAGACGGGGAAAGGAGUGGCUGCUCUCCAGUCUUGAUGCCUAGAACUUGCUUUUAGUCUAUUUCCAAC